rnacentral:rRNA from 1 species
GACAGAGGAUGCAAGCGUUAUCCGGAAUGAUUGGGCGUAAAGCGUCUGUAGGUGGCUUUUUAAGUCCGCCGUCAAAUCCCAGGGCUCAACCCUGGACAGGCGGUGGAAACUACCAAGCUGGAGUACGGUAGGGGCAGAGGGAAUUUCCGGUGGAGCGGUGAAAUGCGUAGAGAUCGGAAAGAACAUCAGUGGCGAAGGCGGCUUCCUGGAAUAAUACUGACACUGAGGAGCGAAAGCGUGGGGAGCGAACAGG